UACGGAGGGUGCAAGCGUUAAUCGGAAUUACUGGGCGUAAAGCGUGCGCCGGCGGUUUGUUAAGUCCGUUGUGAAAGCCCCGAGCUCAACUUGGGAAUUGCAGUGGAUACUGGCAGGCUGGAGUACGGUAGAGGAAGGUGGAAUUCCCGGUGUAGCAGUGAAAUGCGUAGAUAUCGGGAGGAACACCAGUGGCGAAGGCGGCCUUCUGGACCAGUACUGACGCUCAUGCACGAAAGCGUGGGGAGCAAACAGG
rnacentral:rRNA from 1 species